GGAAGGAUCCCAAACGGUCAGGAAUGU
rnacentral:piRNA from 1 species